GAUGAACGCUGGCGGCGUGCCUAAUACAUGCAAGUCGAGCGAACAGACCCAGAGCUUCUUCCUCUCACGUUUGCCGCGCACGGGUGAGUAACACGGGGGUAACCUACCUCAAAGACGGGUAUAACUUGGGGAAACCGUAUCUUAUAGCGUAGGAUAUUUUUAUCCGUAUGGUUCAAGAAUGUAAGACCGUUUUGCUAUCACUUCUAGAUGUAUCCGCGCCGUAUUAGCUAGUUGGUAAAGUAACGGGUUACCAAGGCAACGAUGCGUAGCCGACCUGAGAGGGUGAUCGGCCAUGCGGGAACUGAGGGACAGUUCAGACUCGUACGGCAGGCAGCAGUAGGGCAGCUUCCACCAUUGGCGAAUACCUGACGAAGCGACGCAGCGUGAGUGAUGAAGGUCGUCGGAUCGUUAAACUCUGUUAGUAGGGAAGAACAAAUGUGUAAGUAACUAUGGACGUCUUGACGGUACCUAAUCAAAAAGCAACGGCUAACUACGUG
rnacentral:rRNA from 1 species